rnacentral:rRNA from 1 species
UGGGGAAUAUUGCACAAUGGGGGAAACCCUGAUGCAGCGACGCCGCGUGAGCGAUGAAGGCUUUCGAGUCGUAAAGCUCUGUCCUAUGGGAAGAUAAUGACGGUACCAUAGAAGAAAGCCCCGGCUAAUUACGUGCCAGCAGCCGCGGUAAUACGUAAGGUGCGAGCGUUGUCCGGAAUUAUUGGGCGUAAAGAGUGCGUAGGCGGCAAAUUAAGUCAGAUGUGAAAACUAAGGGCUCAACCCAUAGAUUGCAUCUGAAACUGAUAUGCUUGAGUCAAGGAGAGGAAAGUGGAAUUCCUAGUGGAGCGGUGGAAUGCGUAGAUAUUAGGAGGAAUACCGGUGGCGAAGGCGACUUUCUGGACUUGAACUGACGCUGAGGAACGAAAGCGUGGGGGGCAAACAGG